UACGUAGGGUGCAAGCGUUGUCCGGAAUUAUUGGGCGUAAAGAGCUCGUAGGCGGUUCGUCGCGUCGGCUGUGAAAUCCCGAGGCUCAACCUCGGGUCUGCAGUCGAUACGGGCGGACUGGAGUUCGGCAGGGGAGACUGGAAUUCCUGGUGUAGCGGUGAAAUGCGCAGAUAUCAGGAGGAACACCCGUGGCUAAGGCGGCUCUCUAGUACGGUACUGACGCUGAGACGCGAAAGCGUGGGGAGCAAACAGG
rnacentral:rRNA from 1 species